CCGCUAAGAGUAGAGGACCGCUAAGAGUAGAGGACCGCUAAGAGUAGAGGACCGCUAAGAGUAGAGGACCGCUAAGAGUAGAGGACCUAGUCAAUGCAUUCAACCCGAAAUGUGUCUUCCACAUUUAACCUAACCACUCAGAAUCAGGACAAGAGAGGAAAUUGACCUUCCAAGACUAUAACUGCUGCUGUUAUUCUAAAAUGGCAGAUGUAAUGUAUUGGUGAGGCAAACAGCAGGAUACACUCCAAAGACAUCCAUCGCCCAUCUCCCUGGGUGUCCAUGCCAGGAGUGGGUGUGGCGGCGGGGUUGGAGUCUUCUGAGCUCAUCACUUUGUCUGUCUAGUGUCAGAAAGAAUCAAAGUGAAAAUUAUGUCUCGGUAGAUUAGAGCUGAUGGAUUGAUGCUUAUUGUAUGUGAAUCAAUAAAGCAACUAACUAUGGGUAGCUACAGUAGAAUACCGCAAAACAAUUCCAAGUGAAAUGUGUAACCCUAUUCACAAAUGGGCGUACACUGGCAUUAUGGGACCUAAAUAAUAUAUAACGAUGGCAGAAACAAAUACUUUAGCACAAAUAACCAAAACACGAGCUAGCUAGCUAGCUGACCAUUUCUGGUGCUACGGGUGGGUGUUAUGUUGACCAGUGAGCUGAGAUAAGGCGGAGCUUUACCUAGCAAAGACUUAUAGAUGACCUGGAGCCAGUGGGUCUGGCGACGAUUAUGUAGCGAGGGCCAACUGACGAGAGCAUACAGGUUGCAGUGGUAGGUGGUAUAAGGGGAUUUGGUUACAAAGCGGAUGGUACUGUGAUAGACUGCAUCCAGUUUGCUGAGUAGGUGACGCAACAUAGAAUGCCUUGUGGAGAUUGAGCAAUGGAGAGUUGGCCCACAUCAGCCCAAAGGUUGUGGUGCUGUGGGUGGGCACCAAUAAUCAUGGUCACACUGCAGAGCAGAUCUGUGGAGGCAUCAUGGCCAUAGUCCAACUCAUCAAAGACAAGCUGACUUGCACAGGACACACUGAUAAAUAUGUCUGACACUGAUUCUGUAGCCGCUGAUGUGACUUCCUACAAGCCUCUUGGGCUGGUGUUUACUCAACACUCGUUGCUGUGGGAUUAAUAUAUAAGUGCCUUCUCAGAGAAGCUUGUUAGACAUUCCUCUUGGCUUCUGUUCUGGAGAUAUUCUCUGUGAAUUCUUGUAAUAAACUGAAAUGAUUUAGAUUAAUAUGAUUGACUGCGCUCCCUGUUGUUCACCUCGAAAAUCCCCUUUACAACCAUUAACCUUUUUGAUAACCCAAACUUAAAUUAUGAACUGCAUACUUUAUGGACUCAAUUAUCAUUGCUAACCACAGCAACGAGUGGGCUGGAAGAAAAGCCUGCACUAAAGGCUUUCUAGAACCAGGGUUGGUAACCACUGCACUACUCCAUUCUAUUGGACCAUAAUGUAUGGGGCGGCAGGUACCCUAGUGGUUAGAGCGUUGGGCUAGUAACCGAAAGGUUGCUGGAUCAAAUCGCCGAGCUGACAAGGUAAAAAUCUAUCGUUCUAACCCUGAACAAGGCAGUUAAUCCACUGUUCCUAGGCCGUCAUUGUAAAUAAGCAUUUCUUUACUGACUUGCCUAGUUAAAAAAUGUAGAGGACCGCUAAGAGUAGAGGACCGCUAAGCACUAAUAGGCUCAAACAUCUGUGUUGCUAGUCAGAUUUGACUGCUUAUCAGCAACUGAUUUGAUUGAGCUGAUUUGAGAGAUUAUCCUUCUCUUUAGUUUCAUGCUGUAUGGUGGAUAUGAUGAACAAUAUGCCAGGAUCGCUCUCCUCUGGCUGAUAGAUACAUUAUAAGAGCUUCCCCACAGAAAGGUUAGGAGAAUCUGAAAAGCUACCAUACUAAAGGUUUGUGUUUGUUUCCUCUGUCAAAUUACCGCAUUUCCUGUCUUUUUCUCUGCACUUUGAAAACAUAUACAGUCCUAGUGAUCUGAUUGGUUACGAAUAAUAUAAUUUAAAGUCCCUUUAAUGGUGUCAUAUGGGUUUAGACAGACUAUUUAUGUUGACGAUAAAACAAGGCGUUGUUUGGCUCCACUGUUAAAGCAUUUACUUGUUUCCAGUAUCUGUUUACCACCGUUGCUUGUUGUUACAUGUGAAGAUUCCCUGAAUAUGUCGCAUUUUGGCUGUACCAAAAUAUGCAUAGUAGGGCAGAGACUGGUCGGUAUUUGACUUGGAUGAUACUGUAUGACACUGUAGUCAGUGUGUAUACAUGUGUUGUAGCUAGCUUAUUCUUUUCUUGCACUCUUUAUUCAAAGGCAGUCACCCCACGAGACCCAAGACUCCUUAUAAAAGGCUGCUUUGACUGUUUGUAUAUACUGCUUACGACGAUGGUUGUGUUAAUCUUGGAUUGUGGAAAAUAGGAAUGUGUGAUU
ensembl:lncRNA